CACGUAGGGCGCGAGCGUUGUCCGGUAUUAUUGGGCGUAAAGCGCGCGCAGGCGGUCCUUUAAGUCUGAUGUGAAAGCCCACGGCUCAACCGUGGAGGGUCAUUGGAAACUGGGGGACUUGAGUACAGAAGAGAAGAGUGGAAUUCCACGUGUAGCGGUGAAAUGCGUAGAGAUGUGGAGGAACACCAGUGGCGAAGGCGACUCUUUGGUCUGUAACUGACGCUGAGGCGCGAAAGCGUGGGGAGCAAACAGG
rnacentral:rRNA from 1 species